GACGGCCAGUAUUCCAGCUCCAAUAGCGUAUAUUAAAGUUGUUGCAGUUAAAAAGCUCGUAGUUGGAUUUGUGGUGGAUUGUGGAGUCCUCUUUUGGUACUUUGACGAUCGGCCAUCCUUGGGGGAACCUGUGUGGCAUUAGGUUGUUGUGCAGGGGAUGCUCAUCACUUACUGUGAAAAAAUCAGCGCGUUCAAAGCAGGCUUAUGCCGUUGAAUGUAUUAGCAUGGAAUAAUAAGAUAGGACCUUGGUACUAUUUUGUUGGUUUGUGCACCGAGGUAAUGAUUAAUAGGGACAGUUGGGGGUAUUCGUAUUCCAUUGUCAGAGGUGAAAUUCUUGGAUUUCUGGAAGACGAACUACUGCGAAAGC
rnacentral:rRNA from 1 species